rnacentral:lncRNA from 1 species
CCAUUAUCAGGCAUCUGGAGGACUCCUUGUACAACUGUAGAGAUUUCUGGAAUACAAACUCUUCUUCUGGUGAGAGUCACCCAGAACCAGACUAGUCCAUUCCUUCAACAGGAUAUAAACUUCAAGACAAAGGCCCUCCCACUUACGCUGGUCUUAGGAGGGGCCUGGAUUCUGUAGUGCAGCAAGAAAAGUUUGAAAAGCUGAUUGACAUCCCUCAAACCAAGAUUCUACAGAGGUUGUGGGGUCAGGAUUCUAAGACAGUUGGGGGGAACUGACAACUGUCUCACUCAAGCUGGGUGGCCAACUGAGUGGCUGUGUGUCAAAGCGUCUCCUGAAGAAACCAAUUUAGGAGCUGCCGAGGACUUGGAUUAUCUUUUGAAGGUUGAAUGAGGGUUCCCCUCCACUGUGGUGGACAGUUGUGAAUGAUUAUGGACCUCUUCCCUUUCUGAACCUUGUGAAGACCCUACAUCUUGAUCCUGCUGUUUUGACCCAACCAAAGACUCUGGCAUUUAGUCAGAGUGUGGGGAAAACCCAAGCUCUUCUGGAAUUUGAGUCAACAUUCGUCUCGUAAAAGAACUUCUAAAGUCGUCAGUGUAGAAUACUCUACUAAACUUCAUGGAAUUAUAAUCUAUGGCAGUGGAGAGAUAGCAACCAAGUUGAUCAAAUCACAGACCCUUGAAGCAUCAAGAAUCUAAACUCAUGGCGUCUAGGGAUUGUUUCAUUAUUUGUACUUCUAUCUCCAGUACCUAGCACACAUCAUACUUGCUUAAUAAAUGUUUGUUGAUUGAUUGAUCUAGUUCUUUU